rnacentral:rRNA from 1 species
CCUACGGGGGGCAGCAGUGGGGAAUAUUGCACAAUGGGCGCAAGCCUGAUGCAGCCAUGCCGCGUGUGUGAAGAAGGCCUUCGGGUUGUAAAGCACUUUCAGCGGGGAGGAAGGCGUUAAGGUUAAUAACCUUGUCGAUUGACGUUACCCGCAGAAGAAGCACCGGCUAACUCCGUGCCAGCAGCCGCGGUAAUACGGAGGGUGCAAGCGUUAAUCGGAAUUACUGGGCGUAAAGCGCACGCAGGCGGUCUGUCAAGUCGGAUGUGAAAUCCCCGGGCUCAACCUGGGAACUGCAUUCGAAACUGGCAGGGUAGAGUCUUGUAGAGGGGGUAGAAUUCCAGGUGUAGCGGUGAAAUGCGUAGAGAUCUGGAGGAAUACCGGGGGCGAAGGCGGCCCCCUGGACAAAGACUGACGCUCAGGUGCGAAAGCGUGGGGAGCAAACAGGAUUAGAUACCCGAGUAGUC